GAUGAACGCUGGCGGCGUGCCUAAUACAUGCAAGUCGAGCGAACAGACGAGGAGCUUGCUCCUCUGACGUUAGCGGCGGACGGGUGAGUAACACGUGGAUAACCUACCUAUAAGACUGGGAUAACUUCGGGAAACCGGAGCUAAUACCGGAUAAUAUAUUGAACCGCAUGGUUCAAUAGUGAAAGACGGUUUUGCUGUCACUUAUAGAUGGAUCCGCGCCGCAUUAACUAGUUGGUAAGGUAACGGCUUACCAAGGCAACGAUGCGUAGCCGACCUGAGAGGGUGAUCGGCCACACUGGAACUGAGACACGGUCCAGACUCCUACGGGAGGCAGCAGUAGGGAAUCUUCCGCAAUGGGCGAAAGCUUGACGGAGCAACGCCGCGUGAGUGAUGAAGGUAUUCGGAUCGUAAAACUCUGUUAUUAGGGAAGAACAAAUGUGUAAGUAACUAUGCACGUCUUGACGGUACCUAAUCAGAAAGCCACGGCUAACUACGUG
rnacentral:rRNA from 1 species